rnacentral:lncRNA from 13 species
UGGAAAGCAUUUUUAACUGAGCAGAGGAAACGGCAAAAAUUGAGGUUCCAAGCAUGUGUGAUGAUUAAUUGUAUGUGUCAAGUUGCCUAGGCCACCUAGUACCCAGAGAGGAGUCUUGUUCAGCGGGAAUGUGAAACAGUGUGACAUAGACCAGUGGGUUGUGUACAUGUUAACCCUGUCUGUAAGGAGCCAACGUGAGAAAUGAUCAGGAACGAUUAAACAAACGGCAGAGGGAAUACGACACUGGGGACAAAAUUAGAGAGAAAUUCUGAAGAAAGCGUUGACAUAACUUGGUGGCUAGUAGCCUCAGGGGUUUGCAGGAGAAGGAAGAAUUGAGGACGACCUGAAUAUUUGAAUGAAGGAAGGGGAAGAGACACCAGAGCUCUCUCUUUCUACCAUGUGGGGACACAGUGAGAAGGCAGCGUCAGCAAGCCUGGAAGAGAGCCCUUACCAGAAACUGAUUCGGCCAGCACCAUGAUUUUGGACUUCUGGGUCUUGAGAACUGUAAGAAAAUACAUUCCUGUUUGAGCCAACCAGUCUAUGGUAUUUUCUUUUGGCAGCCUCAGCAGAAUAACAUAAUUGGCAUGCUUGGAAAUGAAGAUUUGAGUUGUCAAACUAGAAUAUAAAAUCAAUGUUAACUAUAUUAGAUUGUUUUUUCUUUUAAAAGUUUAUUUUAAAAACAAGAAGAGGGCUGAGGGUGGGAGAAAAUGCAUUGCUCUAUCUUCAGAGAGGCAGGUUCAGG